GAACUUUGAAUGUUUGAAACAUUGGAAAGACAACUACCACAACAGUAAGAGGUUUUUUUUUUUUGGGUCAACUAGACUAACAUUUUUGGGAGUGCUUCUGGAGGAGCUAAAAACACUUUAUGACAACCAAAACCACUUCUCUGACUGCGUUUGGUUGGAAAAUGAAGAAGUAGUGUUUCUGAAUCGUAGAAUCACUUUCUAGAGAAACACUUGUUGUGUGCUUUUUCAAGAUGCACUCUCAAGUGCAUUUCUAGAAAGCACUUAAAUUUAUUACGAAAAUUUUAGCCCUUUUGUAAUAAAAGUGCUAUUGUUAGAAGUGCUUUAUAAAUAGAAGUGUCUCUUAAAGAAGCAGUCUCAAAUGAACCCUAAGAAUUAGUUGAUG
rnacentral:lncRNA from 1 species